GAACGCUGGCGGCGUGCCUAACACAUGCAAGUCGAGCGAAGCAGUAGGAGUGCGUUGCGGAAGACAAAGACUUAUUGACUGAGCGGCGGACGGGUGAGUAACCCGUGAGGAACCUACCUCGGACAGGGGAAUAACCUGAGGAAACUCAGGCUAAUACCCCAUGACCUAUUGGGGAAGCAAAUAGCAAAGAUUUAUCGGUCUGAGAUGGCCUCGCGUCCCAUUAGCUAGUUGGUGAGAUAACGGCCUACCAAGGCGACGACGGGUAGCUGGUCUGAGAGGAUGGUCAGCCGGACUGGGACUGAGACACGGCCCAGACUCCUACGGGGGGCAGCAAUCAGGAAUCUUGCGCAAUGGGGGGAACCCUGACGCAGCGACGUCGCGUGAAGGACGACGGCCAUCGGGUUGUAAACUUCUUUUAUCUGGAACGAGAAUGGACGGUACCAGAGGAAUAAGCCCCGGCUAACUCCGUGCCAGCAGCCGCGGUAAUACGGAGGGGGCGAGCGUUGUCCGAAUUUAUUGGGCGUAAAGCGCGUGUAGGCGGGUGAUCAAGCCUGUGGUGAAAGGUUGGGGCUCAACCCCAAGAGUGCCGUGGGGACUGGUCGCCUGGAGGCAGGCAGAGGAGAGCGGAAUUCCUGGUGUAGCGGUGGAAUGCGUAGAGAUCAGGAAGAACACCCGUGGCGAAGGCGGCUCUCUGGGCCUGUCCUGACGCUGAGACGCGAAAGCGUGGGGAGCGAACAGGAUUAGAUACCCUGGUAGUCCACGCUGUAAACGAUGGAUGCUCGGUGUCGGGGGUAUCGACCCGCUCGGCGCCUAAGGUAACCCGGUAUGCAUCCCGCCUGGGGAGUACGGCCGCAAGGUUGAAACUCAAAGGAAUUGACGGGGGCCCGCACAAGCGGUGGAGCAUGUUGUUAAAUACGUCACUAACCGUAGAACCUUACCAGGUCUUGACAUCUCGGAACGGGCUGAAAGGCCGGGGUGCGCUUCGGGGAGCCGAAAGACAGGUGUUGCAUGGCUGUCGUCAGCUCGUGUCGUGAGAUGUUGGGUUAAGUCCCGCAACGAGCGCAACCCUCAUCCUGUGUUGCUACCGGGUCAAGGCGGGCACUCUCAGGAUUCUCCCGUGCAAGCGGGAGCUAGGUGGGGAUGACGUCAAGUCAGCAUGGCCCUUACGACCUGGGCUACAAACAUGCUACAAUGGCGCGUACAGAGGCCAGCGAUACCGCGAGGUGGAGCCAAUCCCAAAAAGCGCGUCCCAGUUCGGAUCGGAGUCUGCAACUCGACUCCGUGAAGUCGGAAUCGCUAGUAACCGCAGGUCAGCGAUACUGCGGUGAAUACGUUCCCGGGCCUUGUACACACCGCCCGUCACGUCACCUGAGUCUGUUGCACCCGAAGCGCCUGGCCCAACCGCAAGGGGGGAGGGUGUGAAGGUGUGGCCGGUAAGGGGGACGAAGUCGUAACAAGGUAACCCC
rnacentral:rRNA from 1 species